UAUUCCAGCGAAUAAACUACAAAAACAUUCGUUUGCAUUAAACAUUCGCCAUUUUACGCAGCAGCUUCUGGUCGCUGGUUGUUGUGUGUUAUCUCUUCCUCUUCCUCCUCCCGGGAAAGAAAAAAACAACCUGUUUUUAUUCUUUUUUCUGUGAGCUUUCAGUUCAUUAACUAUCAACAAACAUGGUCAAGAAGAAGACAGUCCCCGUUGAGCAAAGAAGAACCUCCCCACGGCUGGCUUCGAAACCAGUCAGACCUGCAGCGGACGCAAAGAAAAAGCCCGUUGCAAAGAAGGCUGCCAAAGCAAAGAAGACCAAACUAUCCGAAAAUGGGAGCACCAAGGCCGAGGAGCCAAAGGCCGAAGCCACUGAAGCCAAUUGAAUAACGGUUGAUGUGCUCACUCUGUGUACUUGGUGAUUGUACAGUUUUAAAUUAGUAUUUUUUACCAAGUUUUAUAUUACAAAUGUCAUUUAUAGGUUUGUUUUGGGCUUGCACUUGAUGUAACAAAAGUUUGUCACAUUCAUAUCCAUUUUAUAUCCAUUUAAAAAAAAAAAGAUUACCGUCCAUAUCUUGUAGACGUGGCAUUUUUAGUUUGUCUAAUCCUGUUCUUUUAUUUUAAACUGCUGAGUAAUAGAUAUUUUCCAACAAGUUGGAAUCUGAUUUUAAAACAUUAUAAGGCAGCUAAAGCAUAUUGUUAAAAUUUUGCGGGAGAGUAGGAAUUUGUCCGUUUAUCUCCUUGUAUUUUAAUGUUAAACUAAUAAGAAAUUGCUUACCAAAUGUUUUUGAAACACUGUAUGUCGACACAAGUUCCGGUCAGUGAAAAAUACCACAGAAGAAGAAAUGCCGUUAUUAGGUCAAAAGACUGAUACAUCCCAAAAACAUGUAUGAUGUGAACCUGAUCAUAUGAAGAAAAGUCCUGUUAAGUUAUGUUUCUUUCCUGACUGAAGCUUUUCUGACUUUAAUGGUUGAUCUAAAUGUUCUUGAAUAAAAAUUGUCAAAAUGUC